AGCGGCAGAAGGUGGAACAAGUAUACAACGCCCUCGCCUUUUACUAGGGCGUUCCGUGUUCUGCCCUCUGUUCAAAUGCCGCUUGCCAAUUUUUCAGAUGUUCCUAUGCCUUUGGGUCU
rnacentral:snRNA from 1 species